rnacentral:rRNA from 1 species
GAUGAACGCUGGCGGCGUGCUUAACACAUGCAAGUCGAACGAUGAAGCUCAGCUUGCUGGGUGGAUUAGUGGCGAACGGGUGAGUAACACGUGAGUAACCUGCCCUUAACUCUGGGAUAAGCCUGGGAAACUAGGUCUAAUGCCGGAUAGGAGCGCCUACCGCAUGGUGGGUGUUGGAAAGAUUUAUCGGUUUUGGAUGGACUCGCGGCCUAUCAGCUUGUUGGUGAGGUAAUGGCUCACCAAGGCGACGACGGGUAGCCGGCCUGAGAGGGUGACCGGCCACACUGGGACUGAGACACGGCCCAGACUCCUACGGGAGGCAGCAGUGGGGAAUAUUGCACAAUGGGCGAAAGCCUGAUGCAGCGACGCCGCGUGAGGGAUGACGGCCUUCGGGUUGUAAACCUCUUUCAGUAGGGAAGAAGCGAAAGUGACGGUACCUGCAGAAGAAGCACCGGCUAACUACGUGCCAGCAGCCGCGGUAAUACGUAGGGUGCGAGCGUUAUCCGGAGUUAUUGGGCGUAAAGAGCUCGUAGGCGGUUUGUCGCGUCUGUCGUGAAAGUCCGGGGCUUAACCCCGGAUCUGCGGUGGGUACGGGCAGACUAGAGUGCAGUAGGGGAGACUGGAAUUCCUGGUGUAGCGGUGGAAUGCGCAGAUAUCAGGAGGAACACCGAUGGCGAAGGCAGGUCUCUGGGCUGUAACUGACGCUGAGGAGCGAAAGCAUGGGGAGCGAACAGGAUUAGAUACCCUGGUAGUCCAUGCCGUAAACGUUGGGCACUAGGUGUGGGGACCAUUCCACGGUUUCCGCGCCGCAGCUAACGCAUUAAGUGCCCCGCCUGGGGAGUACGGCCGCAAGGCUAAAACUCAAAGGAAUUGACGGGGGCCCGCACAAGCGGCGGAGCAUGCGGAUUAAUUCGAUGCAACGCGAAGAACCUUACCAAGGCUUGACAUGUUCUCGAUCGCCGUAGAGAUACGGUUUCCCCUUUGGGGCGGGUUCACAGGUGGUGCAUGGUUGUCGUCAGCUCGUGUCGUGAGAUGUUGGGUUAAGUCCCGCAACGAGCGCAACCCUCGUUCCAUGUUGCCAGCACGUAAUGGUGGGGACUCAUGGGAGACUGCCGGGGUCAACUCGGAGGAAGGUGAGGACGACGUCAAAUCAUCAUGCCCCUUAUGUCUUGGGCUUCACGCAUGCUACAAUGGCCGGUACAAUGGGUUGCGAUACUGUGAGGUGGAGCUAAUCCCAAAAAGCCGGUCUCAGUUCGGAUUGGGGUCUGCAACUCGACCCCAUGAAGUCGGAGUCGCUAGUAAUCGCAGAUCAGCAACGCUGCGGUGAAUACGUUCCCGGGCCU